rnacentral:pre_miRNA from 1 species
AGCUUUUUGAAUCUGUGCAAUGAUUUCGUCAGACACCAACCUAUCGGGGUUGACCAGACUUCCAAGAUAAGUGAAGUU